rnacentral:rRNA from 1 species
UUUAAACACCUGACCUCGGAUUAGGCGUGAUUACCCGCUGAACUUAAGCAUAUAAAUAAGCGG